GAUGAACGCUGGCGGCGUGCCUAAUACAUGCAAGUCGAGCGAACAGACGAGGAGCUUGCUCCUCUGACGUUAGCGGCGGACGGGUGAGUAACACGUGGAUAACCUACCUAUAAGACUGGGAUAACUUCGGGAAACCGGAGCUAAUACCGGAUAAUAUAUUGAACCGCAUGGUUCAAUAGUGAAAGACGGUUUUGCUGUCACUGAUAGAUGGAUCCGCGCCGCAUUAGCUAGUUGGGAAGGUAACGGCUUACCAAGGCAACGAUGCGUAGCCGACCUGAGAGGGUGAUCGGCCAGACUGGAACUGAGACACGGUCCAGACUCCUACGGGAGGCAGCAGUAGGGAAUCUUCCGCAAUGGGCGAAAGCCUGACGGAGCAACGCAGCGUGAGUGAUGAAGGUCUUCGGAGCGUAAAACUCUGUUAUUAGGGAAGAACAAAUGUGUAAGUAACUAUGCACGUCUUGACGGUACCUAAUCAGAAAGCAACGGCUAACUACGUG
rnacentral:rRNA from 1 species